rnacentral:rRNA from 1 species
AGGGUUUGAUUAUGGCUCAGGACGAACGCUGGCGGUGCGCCUUAUGCAUGCAAGUCGAGCGAAGCUUUUCAGUAGUUUACUACAGAAAAUGACUGAGCGGCGAACGGGUGAGUAACGCGUGAGCAAUCUACCUUAGUUACAGGGAUAGCCCGAGGAAACUCGGAUUAAUACCUGAUAUUCUUUAUUUCUCGCAUGAGAAUAAAAGGAAAGGUCAGCCGAACUAAGAUGAGCUCGCGUUCUAUCAGCUUGUUGGUGAGGUAAAAGCUCACCAAGGCUACGACGGAUAGCUGGUCUGAGAGGACGAUCAGCCACACUGGGACUGAGACACGGCCCAGACUCCUACGGGAGGCUGCAGCAGGGAAUAUUGUGCAAUGAACGAAAGUUUGACACAGCGACACCGCGUGUGGGAUGACGGAUCUAGGUUUGUAAACCACUUUCAGGAGGGAAGAAAAUGACGGUACCUCCACAAGGAGCCCCGGCCAACUACGUGCCAGCCGCCGCGGUAAUA